CAGCCGCCGCGGUAAUACAGAGGGUGCGAGCGUUAAUCGGAUUUACUGGGCGUAAAGCGUGCGUAGGCGGCUUCUUAAGUCGGAUGUGAAAUCCCUGAGCUUAACUUAGGAAUUGCAUUCGAUACUGGGAAGCUAGAGUAUGGGAGAGGAUGGUAGAAUUCCAGGUGUAGCGGUGAAAUGCGUAGAGAUCUGGAGGAAUACCGAUGGCGAAGGCAGCCAUCUGGCCUAAUACUGACGCUGAGGUACGAAAGCAUGGGGAGCAAACAGGAUUAGAUACCCCUGUAGUCCCUGUCUUUUAUAC
rnacentral:rRNA from 1 species